GAGCCGCUCCUCCUCCCGCCGCUCCCUCGCCGUCGCCACGUACUCCUCCAUCACGUCCACCGCCGCCGCCAUCCCGGUUUCGAUCUAGGGUGAGUUUUCGCGGGAGCGGGAGGCGCAGUUUUGGAGGGAGAGGGGAGCGGCGGGAGUGCCUGUAUGUUUUUAUCCGCGGCUCCGCGCACAAGUAGGUCCGAUCUUCUAUUCCAUUUAAUUAAUAAAAAUUUAUAAACGUGUAAUUAUAAUUUUGCAAAGUUAGAUAUAUAUUAUUGGUAUUUCAAUGACACAUAUGACCUGUAUCAGUCAAUAACAUAUGGGUUAGGAUGACAUAUUUUUAAUUUUGCAUAAUCAUAGUGCCAAUUUUGUAAUUUUCCCUUUAAUUUAAUUCAUAUCCCUAAUUUAUCUUUAGCUUAUCCGGAAGGGUGUUUGAUUUAUGUUGUCACGUGAGCCAUACGAUCUGCAGGGCUCUCGAUCCCAUUAAAUGUUGGAAAUUUUAUCUUUUGUGUAUGUAUGGCUUUCUGAUCGUUGCAGAAUUAAUGAGCAAAUAGAACAUGUAUCUUCUUCUAAACAAGAAAAGGUCACUUACCAAAAAAAACAGAAAAACUACGAUACGGGAUUUCAUACCGAUGGGACGGUUUUCUUACCACGUACCACGCAGUCUGCGUUUUAUCACUCUGAUGCUCUCCCCCGUGCGUUUGUGCCGUUGGCGUUGCCUCCAUGUACCCGCGUCGCGCUGCUCCUCCACGCUGCUCGUCAUCGCUCCUCCGUGCUACCCCG
rnacentral:lncRNA from 1 species